GAUGAACGCUGGCGGCGUGCCUAAUACAUGCAAGUCGAGCGGCAGCACGGUCUUCGGACUGGUGGCGAGCGGCGGACGGCAGAGUAACGCGUAGGAAUAUACCCCAAAGUGAGGGAUAAGCUCCAGAAAUGGAGUCUAAUACCGCAUAUGGUCUUCGGAUUAAAGCCUUCGGGCGCUAUGGGAAUAGCCUGCGUUCGAUUAGCUAGUUGGUGAGGUAAUGGCUCACCAAGGCGACGAUCGAUAGCUGGUCUGAGAGGAUGAUCAGCCUGACUGGAACUGAGAUACGGUCCAGACUCCUACGGGAGGCAGCAGUAGGGAAUUUUCCACAAUGGGCGAAAGCCUGAUGGAGCAACGCCGCGUGCAGGAUGAAGGCCUUCGGGUCGUAAACUGCUUUUAUGUGCGAAGAAUAUGACGGUAACACAUGAAUAAGGGUCGGCUAACUACGUG
rnacentral:rRNA from 2 species